GUUUUGCGUGCAUCAACCAAUCGCUGCCGCAGAAAGAGCAGAACCUCUGCCCAUUUAGCGCACUUAUUCGUCUCGUCUGUGACGUACCGGCAAGGCUUUGUGUUCUUUCAAUAUAUCACAUUGAGCAUAUUUCCAUAUAGACUGUAAUCCGGAUGAGGUGGUUGUAUAGACGCCAGUCUUGACGUUGAAACCGGUCGGAGCUGAAUGCUGUCAGAGCCCGGGGAAUAUUAAACAUGGAUGCGGAUUUGUUUAUGGAGUGUGAGGAGGAGGAGCUGGAACCAUGGCAACAGCAAAGUUCAAUGGAUGAUUCAGGGGGAAAUGCUGAAAGCAGUACUCCCACUGUGUCUUCAACUCCCGCCGCGAAGGUUGAUAUUCCAGCUGAGCCUAAAACCAUGGUGAUCCCAAACCUACCACCUGUAGUAAACACAGCAAACACAGUUCCGCUGAUCACAAAUACAUGUGAGCAUUUGUUCCUUAUAGCAUUGUUGAGUGAUUAUCAGUUAUUUUAA
rnacentral:lncRNA from 1 species